rnacentral:lncRNA from 1 species
GGCUGUUGUCAAUCAAUUCUAAUUUAGUACUUUUUUCAUUACUUUUCUCCUCAUCUAGGUGUAAUUUUCACAAUCCAUCUCCUUUCUCUUCAGUUGCUCUAUAAUGUACCCCAUUAGCUUUAAUAUUCUUCAAUAUCUUACCUAUUUGGGGGCCUUCUUCAAUCACAGCUUCUUUUUCUUUUCCGUUCCUGCUAGAAUCCGUUUUUUGCACUGUUUCUUAUUGCCAACCAACACCUCAGCCCUUAAUUGCUAACCUUUUUACAAUGACAUCUGAUGUAUUUUCUGUUUGAUGCAUAUUGUUUCUGAAGAACAAACUGUUUCCACAGCCUGCGAACCCUCUUAGAAAUUAGCUACUCUUUAUGCCGCUCUGUGACACAAUAUACCCAACCGAGGCUUCAAAGAGCAAGAGAGAGAAGUCUGGGCAAAGAUAAAGCAGGGCCUUUGUUAAACAGAGUGUUUCUGCAUCCAUCUUACUCUGGGCAAAACUCCGAUAAUCCACAAUACUAUAGCUUUCAUGUGCUGGGGCACCAUGCCAGUGUUGCAACUGCUGCAGAAGGUGCAGCCCACGUACUGGCAAGCAAAUCAUCCUUGGUUUUGAGGAGGACUACUGCAACAGAGAUAAAAAGGAUUUCCCAUGAGUGGAAGCCUUCUCUGUUGGGAUACCAACAGGUACAGGAAAUCAGUAUGAGGGCUUCAGAGGCUUCAGCUUCACCAAAAAGCAGAAUGUCUCUUUUUUUCUCCACUGCCAGAAAAAGAAGUGGAGACAUAGUCCUGCUACCCAUAGGGAACCAAUGGAAAACUACAGAAGGAUCUCAAAAGUUAUAAACUUGGUCUUCCUAAUCAAAAGAUUUUGCACCCAAUCACGUAUGGCAAGUGCGAAAGUUUUCUUCUACAAUGGAGUGUUGCAAAGCCAUUAUAUUCCAUUUACUUUUCAUCUCUCACACUUAAAACGCUUCGUAGAAUCAUAGAAUGGCAUGGGUUGGAAGGAACCUUUAAUGAUCAACAAGCUCCAGCCCCCUGCUGUGGGCAGGAUUGCCAUCCACUAGGUCAGGCUGCCCAGGGCCAUAUCCAACCUGGCCUUGAAUGCCUCCAGGGAUGGAGCAUCCACAACUUCUUUGGGCAGCCUGUUUCAGCACCUCACCACACUUCAAACAAAGAAUUCCUUUCUAACAUCUAACCUAAAUUCCCCCUCUUUUAGUUUAAAGCCAUUCCCUGUUGUCCUAUCUUUCUUAGAUCAUGUAAAAAGUUGUUCUUCUUCCUGCUUAUAAGCUCCCUUCAAGUUUCCAUUUCCAUUUCUUUUUCCAUUUCUAUUUAUUCUCUCCUUCUCUUUCCAUUUCUCCUGCUAUCUCUUAAAAACACAAUUGCUUAGACCAGCCAAAUAGAAUCUACAAAGUUAGGAAAAUAUAACCUUCAAUCACGUUGAUUUUAAUUAGUGGCCACAGAAAUGUUUGUUUUCACCAAAGAGCUUUGAAUUAUGAAAAACAAAUGAAGAUUUUUUUAAUUGCAAACAGAAUUUUGUAUAUAUUGUCUUUGUUUUGAUA